CCCAUGCUGCUGCCAAUGCUAAUACAGGUGUUUAAGUCCCAUGCUGCUGCCAAUGCUAAUACAGGCGUUUAAGUCCCAUGCUGCUGCCAAUGCUAAUACAGGUGUUUAAGUCCCAUGCUGCUGCCAAUGCUAAUACAGGUGUUUAAGUCCCAUGCUGCUGCCAAUGCUAAUACAGGCGUUUAAGUCCCAUGCUGCUGCCAAUGCUAAUACAGGCGUUUAAGUCCCAUGCUGCUGCCAAUGCUAAUACAGGCGUUUAAGUCCCAUGCUGCUGCCAAUGCUAAUACAGGCGUUUAAGUCCCAUGCUGCUGCCAAUGCUAAUACAGGUGUUUAAGUCCCAUGCUGCUGCCAAUGCUAAUACAGGCGUUUAAGUCCCAUGCUGCUGCCAAUGCUAAUACAGGCGUUUAAGUCCCAUGCUGCUGCCAAUGCUAAUACAGGCGUUUGGCCACAAGAGGUCUCUAUCAUUCUCUAUGGUUUGGUCAUCACAAAUUUUGCAAGAACUAUCAAAAAGCUACCUUUUGAGCUUCUGUGUGGUAAAAAUGUAUUUGUGUAUUCUUCACUAGAGCUUUACAUUUCAUCAUGUUUGAAACAUAGAUAGUCAUAUGUGGAAUAAUGCAUUUAGCAAUUAGAACUGUAAUGAAUACAUGGACAGGGGACUGUAGCUGUAGCAUUAGUAGUGUGGAAACAAAUCAACAGUGUGUUAUUUCCUAUAGAGGCAGUGUGAAGGCCUUAUAUUAUCUCCUAACUAAGCAGGUUCUCAACCUCAGGCUGAGAUAUCAAAUAGUCUCUCGAUCAUCUCCUCCACCUGCGCUGGGCUGUAUUUGUGGUAUCUCUCAGGGUGUUUGGAGAACUCAUGGUCACAUCUGUGUAAAGGACCAUAAUAAAUUAAUAUCACUG